rnacentral:rRNA from 1 species
GACGAACGCUGGCGGCGUGCUUAACACAUGCAAGUCGAACGGGCCCGCCCCUGUUUUUGGGGGUGGGUUGAGUGGCGAACGGGUGAGUAUCACGUGAGUAACCUGCCCCCUGCUCCUGGAUAACUGCUUGAAAGGGCGGCUAAUACGGGGUGUGCCGGCUGGUCCGCAUUGGCCUGGUCGGGAUAGUUUCAUCUUCGGGUGUUUCGGUGGGGGAUGGGCUCGCGGCCUAUCAGCUUGUUGGUGGGGUGAUGGCCCACCAAGGCGGUGACGGGUAGCCGGCGUGAGAGGGUGGGCGCCCACACGGGGACUGAGACACGGCCCAGACUCCUGCGGGAGGCAGCAGUGGGGGGUAUUGCACGAUGGGCGGAAGCCUGAUGCAGCGACGUCGCGUGAGGGAUGGAGGCCUUCGGGUUGUGAACCUCUUUCUCCGGUGGUGAAGGCCCUGUCCGUUGCGGCGGGGUUGACGGUAGCCGGGUAUGAAGCGCCGGCUAACUACGUG